rnacentral:lncRNA from 1 species
CAGCCCCUCCACCUCGCUCAUGGCUUCACUGAGCUCCUCCCGCAGGCGCUGAAUCUCCACCAGCAGCUCCUGCUUCCGCCGCCGGAUGUUCUCCAGCUCCAUCCGCUCCUCCGGAGUCAGGUCUGGGGGUUCUAGGGAUCGGGGUCAAGGUUUAAAAGUCAGUGCUAGGGGCCGUGAGCCUGAAUUCCUGCAAUCUGGGGGCGGACAGAGCUGGGAGAGGAUGUGUAAGGGGCUUCCUAUGUCUGCACAGAAGAAUGGGCUGGGGGCCUGGAUUCCUCCCUGCAGAGGAGAAAGAGCUGGGGCUCUAAACUCUUGAGUCCUGGGGGACAAGGGGAAUUGGGGCCCGGAUUCCUGAGUCUGAGGGAGAAGGGGAAUGGGUGCCUGAGCUCUUAGAUCUGAGGGAAGAAAGGGCUGGGGGCCUCGGCUUCUAGGUCCAUUACUUGGAAGGGGACUGAGGCCUUGGUUUUCUGACUCCAUUACUGGCGAGGUAGCUGGGGACCUGGUUAUCCGGACUACUGGGUCCAUGAAAAGUCACUACAGCCGGGGGAACUGAUGACAGCUCAGGAGAGUUGGGAAGGUGGGGCGGGACAUCGAAGGCCCCCGCCCCCCAAGAUUUCUCCCCUCCCCGCAACCCAAGCGCCCCUCCCCGGCCCCGGCAGGCGCUGGGCUCGCCCGCCCCUCCAGCGGGAAUGGUUCCGCCCCGGCCUCGCCUCCACCACUCCAUCCCGCCCCUCCCGCCGCCACCGGAAACAGGCUCAGCCCAAACAAUGGCCUGGAACGCCCGGCUUUCGGGCCCCGCCGGAAGCCCGUCCAGCGCCCAACAAAAGCGGCGCGACAAGUCUACGACUGAGCCGAACGCUUCUGGGCGCCGCGCGCCAGGGGGAAACGUUCGCGGCGGAACGUUCAGGAGAAAACGCUCCAGCAACUCCCAGCCGACCCCGCCCCUCCCCGACCUACCAUAGACGCCGUCCUCCAUGGCGGCUAGGAAGGCCCGCGGGGAAUCCGGGGCGGUCCCGCCAGUCGGGCCUGGAUCCGCGUUGGCCCGCGGGCUCGGGUGAGCCCGCUCAAACGCCCCGGGAGCCACCGCCGCCUCCUCAGCGCCAGUCCUCAGCGCUGAAAAGACUCUUCCCUUCGUCGCCCAACCGCCCCUUCAGUAGGGACCGCCCCUCUUUUUGACACUGUCCAAUCCACAGUGGGCGCUUUCGUCCUCCCCGCCCUCGCCACCAAAGGAUCGUUCUCCAGGGCCAACAGUCGUACAAAAAGCCGGUGUAGGUAUGUCCGGCCAGAGGUAGACGGCCCGCGGGGCCAAUCGGAGUGCAGGCAGGGCAGCAGGCCCCGCCUCCGAAACAACAGAAAGCACUUGACAGGCUUGCUCUCCAAUGAGAAGCCCCGGAAAAGUGUCGCGCGGAGGCGGAGCCACGCGGUACAGCCACCUCUGCGCCUGCUCAAAGGCCCUGGACACUUGGAGUCUAGACACCCGAGUUCAGAGCCAGCCUCCAAGAGUAUCUUACAUCCCAGCGUCUCCUGGAAGGCCGUAUGAUCCAGCACUGGGGAGAGGAGGGAAAUCCCCAGGACUCGAAUGCCCAUCCCACCCUUGGUGUAGUGAGGACUCAUCCUGCUGGAAAGGCCCCUGAAGAACUUCAAGUUCCAAUAUCCCGUUUUUACAGAUGGGGAAACUGACAUGAAGAGGAGUCCAAAGUGACACAGUCAGGCCAGAAAUGUUGCUUCUGAAGUCCUGAGUCCACCUCCUAGCACUGCCAAGCAGUCCACCUGGAGGUGAUGAGAACUUCCAGGCUUUGGUAAUGGACAACUCUGUAUCCCUGGAGCCUUCAUUCCUUUUGGCAUUACAGAACCACAAGAAGUCAUCUAGAAUCAUUGAGAUUCUCAACUCCAUUGGGCAAACUGGAACCAGCAAAAUCUCAGAUAUCUAGAAUUGCCACUGCUUCCUUGACUCUGUGAUCAGUCUACAGCCACAGAAUCCUGAUUCCCUUUGGACAUUCUAGAAUGGCACUUUAAAAAAAAACAACCCACCCAGUGGAUCCUUUCAAAGCACUGCUUAUUCUCUUGGCUGGGUGCUCUACAGCCAGAAGUUGGAGUUAUCUAAUAUCAAGAACUCUUAAUCUGUCACUUCAGUCUUUCUAAACCCACAGACUAACAAUGUUUUGUGCAUUCUAGAAACAUUACUCUUUAGUUUCUGGAGUAGUUCAACUCUCCACGUAAAAUCUGUCCUAGACUCACCAGUGCUUGCCUCUGUGGUCAACCUAGACUCACAGAAUCUCAACUAAUGAGCUUUCUGGAACCACAGGUCUUUUUUUUUUUUUUGGUCUUUGGUCAAUCAAGAUGAUCUUGAAUACUUGGGGCAUUCCAUAACCUUCCCUCCUUAGGUGGUCUAGAACAAAUGAUUUGCUACUCAGUUGGCUGAGUUGAGAAGCAACACUCCCUUGAAUCUUAGGUGAAUCCAGACCUACAAACUCUUGAUAUCUGAUGCUGUUCAAGAACUGCCAACUUGCUUCCCCAGAGGCAGUCUAUACCAUUGGCUUCUCACCCUGGUCAACAAUCCAGGUCUCCCCAUAUAGAGGAAUCUAGAACUGCCAGUCUUUUCCUCUUGGGUGAUCCAGAAUUCUGGUGAGACUGAGGAAUCAGGCUCAUAAAGGGUUCUCAGGAGGGAGCACAGAAGCAGAGGAAUUAAGGUCCAGUAUGUCCAUGGUGGGUCACCAGGCAUGGCAGAACCUUACCACCUAGUCAUUUACCCAGCAGGCCUGUCGGUAUUCAGGAACACCUGCCCCCAUCCCAGGAGAGAGCCCCAUCCCUCCAUCUUGCUACCUUGGGGAAGGGGGCAUACACGGGGAAGGGGACAUCAGUUUGCAUCAUGGAGGCAGGGUCAGCGCCAGGGUUGGUGUGAGAACUCGGGGGCUAGCAGCCCCAUCUUCUGUUUCCACCCCAUUCCCUUCCUCAGUCUCAUCGUCCUCAUCUUCCUCCUGGCAGCAGCUCAGAGCAAGUUCAUUCUCAUAACAAAAUGCAGUCAGAGAGCCGGGGAAACUAGACUUGAGGCUGUGGGAAGCCUGCUCUGCCCGUUCAUCCAGCUCCUUAGCACUGCAGACCGGUGUCCCUGGGACCUCAUAAGUGCGAUGGAAGUGGCGAUAGUCGACCUCAUACUGGGAGCCACGCUGGAAGAGAACUGGCUCAAAACGAUGGCCCCAGAGCAGUUCACCAGGGAGGUAGGACGAGCGACACUGUGUGGUCAUGGCUGUGGCCUCAACCAUCCCCUCGAGAAUGACCACCAGCUCAAAGUCAGCCCUGGCCAGCUCGGCACGUCCUAGCUCAUACAGAGGACUGGCAGAGUCGAUCUCAUGGACGAUGGUGAUGGGGGACACGAGGAAGAUACGAUCGGUGCCUCCAUCAAAGCCCACAUCCACAUCCUGGUGGUCCAGCGGGAUGUACUCACCCUCUGGGGUCACACGGGGCUGCAGCAGGAGGCGAGGAGCCAAAGACAGCAGGGAGCACAGAGACGGGCAGAGACGAAGUGAGAGAGAGGAAGAGAUGCAGAGAAAGAAGGCAAAGACCACAGGAGUGAAGAAAAGGGUGAGAACACAGAUCAAGAGAUGGGGCCGGCAACCCAGAGAGAGAGGAAGUCAGAGAGGCAGGGGAGGGCACAGAAACCCAGUAAGGGAGCCAGAGACCCAGGAGGGGAGGAUGGAGGUCCAGAGAAAACAUGGGACAUGGGACAGAGACCCAGAGAUAAAGAGAGAGGAAAGAGACUCAGGGUUUGGGGGUAGAAAACGGGAAGAGGGGCGUGGUGGGGGAAGAGGAGAGAGGGACAGAGUGAUAUUGGCAUAGAGACACAGAAAUCAGCAAGACAGAGAUGAAAUCAAAGCGACAACGGAAAAUAAGGAUGACAUUCAACAGAGAAUUGGAGAAGGAGCGGGAGAGAAAAAUGGCUUUUAGUAUGUGGCCAGAGAAAGAUAAAUCAGAUGACAAGAAGGGGGAGUUAGGGCAACCUAGGUCCAACAUUCUGCACCCACCACUGCCUCAGGCUUAUCCCUGGGCUCUCCCCUGAGCUAUCCUAGCUGUCAGGGCAACUGCAAACCCUUCCAUGUCAUUCUGUGUGUGAGCACGCUUUGUGGGGGUGUGGGUAUUUCACCCCCGCCUACCCGCUGGUUCCAUAGCCACCUCCCAGGCCAAGUCACUGCCCCACCGACUUCUGCAAGAGCCAGUGUCCCUCCUAUUCAUGAAUCCUGGUAUCUCAAAGCUUCAGGCAGGAGAUUGAAGUGGGAGGUGGGCAUCUAUCCUCCUCUUGUAAGUGUCUCUGGAAGCCCCAAG